AACGCACAUUGCGCCCCUUGGUAUUCCGGGGGGCAUGCCUGUUCGAGCGUCAUUUCAACCCUCAAGCUCUGCUUGGUAUUGAGCCUGGUCAGCGAUGGCCGGCUCUAAAAUCAGUGGCGGCGCCGUUAGGUCCUGAACGUAGUAAUCUCUCGUUACGGUCCCUGACGCGCUUCUGCCAAAUCUUACUUUUCAGGUUGACCUCGGAUCAGGUAGGGAUACCCGCUGAACUUAA
rnacentral:misc_RNA from 1 species